rnacentral:misc_RNA from 1 species
GGAAGGAUCAUUGAUGCAUAUUUAAUCUUCAUGAUUUAUAACCCCUUUUUAUUGAUGUGAACACAUAUAUCAUUUUAUAUGUUUUUAACACCAUAUUUUCUUUAUUUUUUAUUGAUUUUAUGUAUUUUAUAAUCAACAAAACUUUAUCUUUCGAGAUUUAUUUUGAUGAUAUAUCAAAUAUAUACACAAGAGAUUAAACCAGAGACUACUUUCAACGACGGAUGUCUCGGCUCCUGUGCGGAUGAAGAACGCAGCGAAAUGCGAUACGUGAUGCGAAUCGCAACGAUCGGUGAGUCAUCUAAGUUUCGAACGCACCCUGCGCUCUCGGUACCCCCGGGAGCGCGUCUGUCUGAGCGUUGCCCUUAUACCCCCCUCAUCUUCUUAUACAAAAUACUACUUUUUGUAUAUGCGAGAUGGAUUGUUGGGUGUUUGUCUCUCUUUCACAGAAAGGCAUCUCCCGAAAUAUAUCAUUCUUUAUCUAUAUCGAGAAUAGGACCUAUAUGACGCUCUUUUGCGUCUCUCUCUCUCAAAGAAAGAGACACACAAAGUUCACUUAUUAGUCUAUCUGUCUUAUCUUUAAUAUAUCGAACUUAUCGGUAAGUUAAAAACAUAGAUGGAAUAGUACUGAUAAAUGAAAUGUAUCUCUCUCUUUGUAGUAGUGAAAAACAAUCCUAUUUCUUAUCAUAUGGACCAACCUCAGAUCAGGCGCCGCCACCCGCCGAACUUAAGCAUAUCAUUAAGCGGAGGAAGAGAAACCAACAGGGAUUCCCUUAGUAGCGGCGAGCGAACCGGGAAAAGCUCAAGCUCUAAAUCUGAACGGUCAAGUGCUGUUCCGAAUUGUAGUCUCGCAGGUAGGCAUUGUUGGUGUUCCCCUUUGGACCUAGAUCCCUUGGAACAGGGUGUCAUGGAGGGUGAGAGCCCCGUGUGACGGUCCAAAGACAGAUGUUAAUGGGGACGCCGGUUAAGCAUUGUCUAUUUCCGGAGUCGGACUGCUCGGGAGUGCAGUCCCAACUGGGUGGUGGACCCCACCUAAAGCUAGAACACUGACAGGAGACCGAUAGCGGACAAGUACCGCGAGGGAAAGAUGAAAAGGACCCCGGGAGGGGAGUCAAAAGUGCCUGAAAUCGUUGAGAGGGAAGCGCUCAGGGACGAGGUAUUAUUUUGUUAUUUCCAGUAAUGAAUAUAAGCAACCCUUUACAGUUGUCCGAUGGGGCGAGUUGGUCGUUGGCCGGGGGGCCAGGAGUGUUGUACGAGGAGAGGGGGCUUGCUCCCUUUAUUAGUGCGAUGCCCUGCGCCUCUUCCAAUCAAAGAUCAGCUUUCUUUGUCUAUCCAACUGUGUAAGGUGAGUCGACAUCAGCUCUAUAUCCGAUGACGGAAGAACAUGUGAUUAUUAACUGAAGCGCGACAGGGGGCAACUCCUGGCGUGCGGUUGCGUGUUCGCGGUCGUCGGUGGGGCUGAGGAAACCGCGCAGGAUGCAUGCUUUGGGGUGACCUGGGGCAGAGGGGCGCCAUUCCGGAUUGUCUGACCGAUGGGGGGCCGGGAACCGGCGCCUUGUUGGUCAAAGGUAGUUCUAGAGUGGAUCGCUUUUUACCUCUAGUGCAGUCAGCGAUGUCGGCCGAGCGGCCCUGAGUGACCCGUCUUGAAACACGGACCAAGGAGUCCGACGCGCGCGCAAGCGUCGAGGGGGGCGAAGCCCCAGACACAUAGUGAAAGCGAGGUUCUUUUUCUUCGGAAAGAGAGCAAGGCAGGAGGAGAGACAAGGGGUCUGUUAUGGGCCUCUUGGGCUCCGCACUGUCGGCCGACCUGGAUUUUUUAGAAAGGUUCGAGCAGGAGCGCGCUCGUUGGGACCCGAAAGAUCGCGAGCUACGGACGGCCAGGACGAGGCCAGGGGAAACCCUGGUGGAGGUCCGAAGCGGUACUGACGUGCAAAUCGUUCGUCGGAGCUGCCCGUAGGGGCGAAAGACCAAUCGAGCGAUCUGGUAGCUGGUUCCCCC